rnacentral:misc_RNA from 1 species
GAUGAAGAACGUAGUGAAAUGCGAUAAGUAAUGUGAAUUGCAGAAUUCAGUGAAUCAUCGAAUCUUUGAACGCACCUUGCGCUCCUUGGUAUUCCGAGGAGCAUGCCUGUUUGAGUGUCAUUAAAUUCUCAAUCAUUAUCAACUUUUGCUGAUAAUGGCUUGGAUGUGGGGGUCUAUUUUGCUGGCUUCUCAGAUAGUCAGCUCCCCUUAAAUGCAUUAGCCGGUGCCCCGCGUGGACUGUCUAUUGGUGUGAUAAUUAUCUACGCUAUAGACAUCUGCAAUCAUAUGGGUUUGCGCUGCUUCUAACAGUCUGUUGAUUCAGACAAUACAUGACAAUUUGACCUCAAAUCAGGUAGGACUACCCGCUGAACUUAAGCAUAUCAAUAAGCGGAGGA